UUAUAAAUAUUUAGUGUUUCCUCUAAUAUUUUAUGUUAUUUUACACAUCUUAAUUAUACAUGCUAAAGAAAAUAAAAUGACUUUUUUCACCUAGCCCCGUAGGUGGCCCCAAGUCCCCUCAGUUAACCCCCGUGUACAAGGCAAAUGUUACUAUGCGUGCCAUGGAAGAAUGUUGGAAGGCACUUGGCUAGAGGGCUGCCCAUCCGAACUCAGAAGUGCUAACAUUCUUUAAAAUCCUUGUUAAAAGUAUGAAAUUCUGGCAUAGGCUUGGAUUUUAACAACUCAAAGCUCUUUUAACUGGAAAAAAUAUAUAUCAAAGGUCAGGCGCUAGAAAAGUUGUAAAACUUGGCUGCCAAAGUUAAUCUGUGGCAGAUUGUCUUUUCCAAGGAUGACUGCAGCGCUGUCUUCCCUCCCCCAUGGUCUUCUUACUCUGUGACUUUGACAUUCCUUCUAUAAUGAAAUGGGGUCUCUCUUCCUCCUCUAAAGUGUGGAUUUGUGACUGUGAUGGGAGCCAUGUCGUGUGACUUCCAAAGCUGGUCACAGGAAGUGAAGCGCGUUCUUCCCGGCACUUUUCAUACACUGCUUCUUGGCUCUCAGACUCUGUACUGUGAGGAAGCCCAAGCAGCCCCCAGGGGGAGGUUAUGUGUGUGAAGAAACUUAUUUGAGAAUAAAAGCAGUAAUAUCUAAGGACUGAUGACCAAAGAAAUAUAUUACAUCACUUUUUGUAAUAGUCCCAAAUUGGCAGUGUAGCCAAUUGGUGAGAGCACAGAAUUUCUGGAAAAAUCCCAGCCUGGCUUUUACCAGCUACGUGGCUUAAGUCAAGUUCCUGAAUGUCUCUCUGCCUCAGUUUCCUCAGAAGUAAAGUGGAGAUGAUACUAACAGUACAUCCCUCACUGUGUCGUUUUUAAAAGAUUAAAUAAGUUAAUGUUUGCAGCUCAGGUUAGAAUGCUGCCUGGCACAGAGCAAGAGAGGUAUGAGUAUUUGUUUACUGAUUAGAUAAAAAUAAAGAAUUGUACAUGAUCACGUGGGGUCUGGAAUCAGAAGGGUUGGGUUGGAGGUUUGCUCGACCUUUUUCACCAAGGAGCCCGAACAAGCCUUGUAGCUUUACCUGAGCGUCGGCCUUCUGGCCACUUGAUGAAGAUCCCCUGGCCUGUUGGGGCCGCAGAAAGAGCACGGAAUGCCUUCAGUGCCGUUAACUGUUAGCCUGCCCCGUGGUGCUAAAAGCUGAAUAUGGGGAGGUCUCUCCUUUCGACAUUUGGCGAGGCUUUCCUGUUUCUGCAGACAGAAAUUGAGACAUGCAACCCUGGAUAGCUAUGGAAAGUAGUGGACUCUUCGCAUUUUUUUCUGAAAAACCAAUCAAAAUUGUAAAUGAAUUGAAAUGUCAAAAUUAAUAAAUAAACCAAAGUUAGCAAAGGCUUUA